rnacentral:lncRNA from 1 species
ACAAGUCCAUUUUCCUUAGGUAAGGCUGCAGUAAUGAACAGUCCCAAGCUUCCAAUGGCUUACAACAACAAAGGCUUAUUUUUCGCUCACAUUGCAUGUUGGCUGCAGGUUGGGUCUGGCUCUGCGACUCCACUCCGGAUGUCUAUUGCAUUCCAGGAUCCAGGCUGGAGAGCAGCUCCUAUCUUAGUCUCAUGGCAGAAAGUAACGGAACAGUAUCGGAACCACACAAUGGCUCUUAAAGCUUCUGCUGAAUGGUGGCUCUGUCACAUCUGCCCACAGUCCACUGACGAAAGCAAGUCCAUGGCCAAACCCAACAUCAAUGGGAAGCACUGAAAGUUAUGUGGCCAUGGGCAGUAAUGCACAAUCCUCUUACGAGAAGGGUAGUGGCUAACUGGAAACAAUAAUAUGAUCCACUGCCAAGGCUUUAGAAGUUAUUUGCUUCAAGCAUCUCAUUUGACAGAUGGGAAAACUGAGGCCAGGAUGAGUUAAGUAAAUUGCUCACAAUCACAUGGGGUUGCCAGUGGCAGAGCAAAGGCAAGGACCUAGGUCUCCUGCCUCCCAGUCCAGGGUUCUUCCCUGCACCCCAGGCUGCUCCCCUACAGUUUCACUUUGGCAAGUAAGGAAAGAUUGUUCACGGUUGUCCUCUGUUUGUCCUCUUCAGUUCACUCGAGCAAUAUGUUUCCUAGCACAGAGAGCUGGCUGAUGGUCAGGGCAAAAGCGAAAGUUCUCCAGAAUCAUUAUUUGAGCUUGUUUCUCUUCAGGCACCAGUCUUAAGAGAAAUUUGGUUCCGGGUGAUUGAACAGAGCCUCAGCAAGCCCCGGUUCCUUCCCGUGAAGGCUAGGAGGAAAGUAGCCAUCUGCAGAAGAAUCUGGGGAGGGACUGCCAUGGUGGGCUUUAGUUCUUGGCUAGAAGAGCCUCUGUUCUCGGCAGGAGAAGCCAAAUUGCACAAGAAAACCCAAAGAUCUUCUUUGAUGUACAAAGCCAUGAAGUCACAGCCCUUAAAAGAGGUCGACAAAGAGCCCAAAGUUUCCAUCAGGUUGACAAUGUCCAUGUAAUUCAUCUCACUCACUGCAAGGAUCAAAACACCAAAUGCUUCCAGGAGCCAGACAGGAGGCCUGAAGGCACUCAUAAUCAAAAUUCCAAACUCAACGGGGCACAGUGGCUCAUGCCUGUAAUCCCAACACUUCAGCAGGCCGAGGUGCAAGGAUUACUUGAUCUGAGGAGUUUGAUACCAGCCUAGGCAACAUAGUGAGACCCCUGUCUCUAUGAAAAGAUCAAAACACGAGCCAGGUGUAGCGGUGUGCACCUGUGGUUCCAGCUACAAGAGAGGAUUAAGCGGGAGGAUCGCUUGAGCCCGGAGGGUCAAGGCUGCAAGUGAGCUAUGAUCAUGCCACUGCACUCCAGCCUGGGCAAUGGAGUAAGACCCUGUCAAAAAAAAAAUUCUAAACUCACAUUUUGCAGGCCAACAAUAGAAGGGCUCAUUUCACAAGCCUGGCAUUUCAAAUUCCCUGCAUUUAGUCAAUUUCUAAGUACUAUUUAUUGAGCACUUCACUGUCAUGGCCACUGUUCUAAGCACCUCAGAUGGAGUAAGCCUCACAACAACCCUAUGAAGUAGGCACUAUCAUUAGCAUCAUUUGCAUUUAUAGGUGGGGAGACUGAGGCACGGAGCACUUAAGUAACUGUCCCGAUGUCAGACAGAUAGAAUAUGCCAUGGCUGGGAACUCAAAUAGUAAGGCUCAA